rnacentral:rRNA from 1 species
AUUGAACGCUGGCGGCAUGCUUUACACAUGCAAGUCGAACGGCAGCACGGGGGCAACCCUGGUGGCGAGUGGCGAACGGGUGAGUAAUACAUCGGAACGUGCCCAGUAAUGGGGGAUAGCCCGGCGAAAGCCGGAUUAAUACCGCAUACGCCCUGAGGGGGAAAGCGGGGGACCGAAAGGCCUCGCGUUAUUGGAGCGGCCGAUGGCUGAUUAGCUAGUUGGUAGGGUAAAGGCCUACCAAGGCGACGAUCAGUAGCUGGUCUGAGAGGACGACCAGCCACACUGGGACUGAGACACGGCCCAGACUCCUACGGGAGGCAGCAGUGGGGAAUUUUGGACAAUGGGCGAAAGCCUGAUCCAGCAAUGCCGCGUGUGCGAAGAAGGCCUUCGGGUUGUAAAGCACUUUUGUCAGGAACGAAAAGUUUGGCUCUAAUACAGUUGGACGAUGACGGUACCUGAAGAAUAAGCACCGGCUAACUACGUGCCAGCCGCCGCGGUAAAAC